UCGUAACAAGGUUUCCGUAGGUGAACCUGCGGAAGGAUCAUUACUGUGAUUUACUACUACACUGCGUGAGCGGAACGAAAACAACAACACCUAAAAUGUGGAAUAUAGCAUAUAGUCGACAAGAGAAAUCUACGAAAAACAAACAAAACUUUCAACAACGGAUCUCUUGGUUCUCGCAUCGAUGAAGAGCGCAGCGAAAUGCGAUACCUAGUGUGAAUUGCAGCCAUCGUGAAUCAUCGAGUUCUUGAACGCACAUUGCGCCCCUCGGCAUUCCGGGGGGCAUGCCUGUUUGAGCGUCGUUUCCAUCUUGCGCGUGCGCAGAGUUGGGGGAGCGGAGCGGACGACGUGUAAAGAGCGUCGGAGCUGCGACUCGCCUGAAAGGGAGCGAAGCUGGCCGAGCGAACUAGACUUUUUUUCAGGGACGCUUGGCGGCCGAGAGCGAGUGUUGCGAGACAACAAAAAGCUCGACCUCAAAUCAGGUAGGAAUACCCGCUGAACUUAAGCAUAUCAAUAA
rnacentral:misc_RNA from 1 species